GUGAUCAUUUUGGCAGCACAUAUACUAAAAUUGGAACGAUACAGAGAAGAUUAGCAUGGCCCCUGCACAGGGAUGACAUACACAUUCAUGAAGCAGUCCAUUAAAAA